rnacentral:lncRNA from 1 species
AAAGAAGGGUUUAUUGUGUAUACAUUCAUUCAUGUUUAUGUCCUAUAUGUAUAUGUUAGAGUUGAUGCAUACUUUUUGAGGAUUGUGGAUAUGUUAAGGAGCUACUCUAGAGUUUUAUUGAUGGAAGAUCUGGUGUGUUGCAUGUUUUCAGUCAUAUAUUGACCAUAUUUGAUUCCCUUUUUCUUGUUUAUCCCACCUAUACGCACCCAAGCCCCAUUACAACCAAAAUGCAAGACCUUUUGAUUUGUGCAUUGGUUCCAUAUUUUGGUGGAGAUAGUGACAUAAGGGCAAGCUGUGUUUGAAGGCAUAAAGUUGUGAAUUGUGUGAAUCUAUUCUGUCCAUAUUUGUCUUUUGAGAGAAAUUAAGUGAACUUGGUGAGGCAGGAUUGAAUUUGCACAAUUUUGACUUGAAUGAAGAACAUGGCAUAAUUUUCUGAGCAAGAGCAUGGUUAUGGGUUUGUGGAUGAUUGUAUCUUGAUCAAGAUUUUGAGUAUUAUCUAUCAUAUUGUUGCCAAAGCUUUGUUUUUGCUGUUUUGAGUCUUCUGUUUUGUUCCUUCCCUGUCUUUUGUUCUUUUUGGUGCUCGAGGGCGAGCUUUGUUUAAGUGUGGGGGGAUUUGAUUGGGCGUAUUUAUACGCAUUUAUUUGGAGGAUUUUAGAUGUUUUCAAUGCUUAAUUCGUGUUAAAUAUCAUCUUUUGGAUAUGGAUUAUGGUCUUAUGUGAAUUUUGAUGGUAUUUAAUAGGUUUUGAAGAAAAGACAUGAUUUUGAGAAGAAUUUUGAAGCUUGAAGUGGUAGAGAAUGAAGGCUGUGCGGACAAAGAUUAAUGGGCUGGAUCUUUGAUUAUUAUUAGCUGAUCAUAUUUAAAUUGUUUUGGGAUUGGGAAUAGUUCCAAAUUUGGACCUUUGCACCACUUUUCCCUAUUAGCUUUUACGUCAUUAGACUAGUUGCCUAGUUGCCUAAUUAGACUAGUUGCCUAGUUGCCUAAUUAGACUUGUUUUAGUUGCCUUAUUAGACUAAGGUUUUGAUUAUUAGAUAGUAUAUAUAAUGGAAUUCAGCACACUUUAAA